GAUAUUACCUAAAAAGUUUUGCAUGGAAUAAUGGAAUAGGACUUCGGUUCUAUUUCGUUGGUUUUCGGAUCCGAAGUAAUGAUCAAAAGAGACAGGCGGGGACGUUUGUAUGGCUGCGCUAGAGGUGAAAUUCAUGGACCGUAGCCAGACAAACUAAAGCGAAAGCAUUCGUCAAGCAUGUUUUCAUUGGCCAUGAGCGAAAGUCAGAGGCUCGAAGACGAUCAGAUACCGUCCUAGUUCUGACCAUAAACGAUGCCAACUGACGAUCCGUGGUGGUAGUUCAUCAACCUUCCCCACGGGCAGUCCCCGGGAAACCUUUAAGUCUUUGGGUUCCGGGGGAAGUAUGGUUGCAAAGCUGAAACUUAAAGGAAUUGACGGAAGGGCACCACCAGGAGUGGAGCCUGCGGCUUAAUUUGACUCAACACGGGAAAACUCACCCGGCCCGGACACUAUGAGGAUUGACAGAUUGAAAGC
rnacentral:rRNA from 1 species